ACCAAUUUGAGAUGGAAAGAUCUGUCUAUAAUCCUUUGGCUAAGUUUCUACUCACUAUGGAUUAUGGUCUAAAGUGUGACUAUCCAUGUGUUUUAGGGUGAUCCCUGCUGGGCAGGGUCAGAGAGGCUCUGCCUUUUGGAAGCCAUUCAGAAGACAGGAACCUGAUUUGAAAGUGGGGCUCACUGUUCCUGGUAUCAGAAAGCUAGCAAGCACAAUAACUUUCCACUCAAUACACAUUAAAGUCCCAUGGGCAUGACGUGGUUUGAGGGAGACAUGUGAUCAUCAAUAAUUCACUCAGUGUAUGAUGGGAACAAAUGUGACUUGUCAUACCGUAGAAAUAACAAAAAUGAAGAGCAUACUCUUCCUCAAAAGCAGCUCCAUGUUGUUGCCGAAGAGUAUGGAACUAGGACAGGUACAUGAUCACAUGUAUUAAAGACAGAAUUCUGUAUCAGCAACCUGCCAUUUGUGGAAAAUGUGACCUUUAGCAUUGGGGGCUGAGCCUGUGUUGGUAGGAUGCACACAGUUGUGCAGUCCAGUUCCCGGGGUCUUUUCCCCUGUCAACUGGCUGGGCUCCUCUGCAAUCAGCAGUCAGGUGACACCUCUCUCCUCAUUCACCUAUUCCCUUUCAAACACAUUUCUGUAUAUACCAUUCGACUUACAAAUAUAAAAUGAAACAUGAACCCACGAUGCUCCUAAGUGUCACUGAAGAAAAUCUCUUUCUUCCAUGUGUUUUAUCAAAGGAUUCACUAUUUUAUGGAAUUCGGAAAAACAACAACAUUAUCUGGAAGCGAUGAACAGAAUUCUUCAGAAUAAUGAUGUUUCGGAGGAGAAGUGGGUUAAAGAAGCGUCUGUUUUCAACAGGAAUUUAAGACAGCAAUUAAGUGUGGAAGACAAAGAAAAACCUAACGAAGCACUUAAUCCAGAUUUCCAAAGAAAGAGUCCGCUGUGCAGGGCGAUGCUGCCAUUCCUACAGGAGAACAUCCUCAUCGCUGCCAUCAUGAUGACGGCAAUCUUUGUGAUGAUUGUGCUGGUGCUGCUCUUCUCUUCAUACACGAGGAGGAAACAGGCAUUAUAUUCCCCAACAAACAUGAAUUACAGCCAUUAUCCACUGAAAGAAAAGAAUUGGUGGCAAAAGUGUGACGACCAAAAUCUGAGAGAAUUGACAGAAAAUCUAAGAAUCUAUUGCCGGAUCCAGGGAGCAGCCAAUCCAGAAGUUUAAAAAGUGAUGCCCUGGAGAGAUAAUUCACUUUGUGGUUAUCACGUGUUCCUUAAAAUGUUUCCCCACUUUUCCCAAUGUAGAAUGGUCCAAGAACAAGAGCAUUGCCAAUUAUGGUAAUGGCACUCCAGAGUGGUACAUGAACGUUAUAUUAACCCCAUUGAAGCCAAACAGUUGAUUGAUUUAUAGAGUUAAUAAAGCACUCGUUGGUUUAUUCAGUCAUUCAUUUCACAGACAGUAAUCAAAAACCUGAUAUGUAGACACAUCAAAAUAGAAUGAGACAUCCAAAGAUGUGUCAGGCAUGGAUUCUGCCCCUUGUAAGAUCACAGUGGAGGAGUGAGAAGAGAAUAUGAAUGUAGCACAUACCGUUCUCAAUUUGUAAUAUGUGGAGCAUUACAUGAAGAAAGUGGUGAGUGUUGUGCGAGGUGAUGAGGGGGAGGGAGUCCCCCCCCCAUGAGCUUGAGCAAUCAGGAUGGUUAAAACAGGAGAAGGAAAUGUGGUAAUUGAGAAUGUAAUGAAGGGGGGUUGUUUAUGAAGGUGUGAGCAGUAUUAGGGGAAGCCAAGGAAGAAAGUUGAAGUUCCCUGCCAUAUGCAAGUAUAUGAAGCAGUUCUGAUUAGUGGAGGCGCAGUAUCAAAGACCAAGGGGCCUGGGGAUUAGCUCAUUGGCCAAGCACCUGCAAAGCAUGCAUUUGGCUCUGGACUCAAUCCUCUUCUCUGAGUAAAGAAAGAAAGUUGAAAGAAGAAAAUCACAAGGAAAUCAAGAGAGACCUUCUGACAGGAUGGACCCAUCUGGGAAGGGGUAAAGGACAUCUUAACAACCCAACAGGAAAUCAGCAGAGUCAACACUCUGGUGAUCCUCCCCUUGAAUCUCUUACAAGGGGCUUUUUUUUUUUGUUUCCAGAGUGAUCCAAGGGGCUUUUUUCUGUGUGGCAUGGGGAUGUUGAACUUAGGGCCUUAUGGUUGGUAAGGAAGUUCUCCACCAUCUCAGGUACUCCACCAGCCUUGUCUAGAGUUGGUUAUUUCUGACAUAAGGUCUCUCAUUAUGGUGGGGCCGGCCAGGACCGUGAUCCACCCAUGUAUGCUUCCCUGAAUAGGAUGACAGGCACAUGUCACCAUUCAUCGUCAUUAGUUGAGGAGGGGCCUUCAAAUUUUUUCCCCAGCAAGUCUGAAAGGUAUGAUCCUCCAGAUGGUCACUUCCCAAGUAAUGAGGAUUAGAGAUUUGCCCAAAUGUCCUGGCCUCUACCAAAGGCUAAUUGGGCAAAUCUAAGAAGCAGCUAGAAGGUAAGAAAGUCUUUGGUGCAAUUCAUCAGCAGGUGGAGAAGAGCACAGGUUGGAAGGAGGGAAAGCCAAAAAUACCCAGCACAGUUAUCAUGCUGACCAAUAUGCAUCCAUUUUUGUCCUUUUAUAAAUGAAAAUUCCCAAUUCCAUGUCCUGAAUCCCACAAGUGACAGAGAAAGUCCCAAGAGCUAUAUGCCCUCAAGGGGUGAUGUUGGUGCAACCUUACACACCCCCGAAACUUGAAUCACUCACCAGUAUAUGGUCUCCUUAUAAGGAACUGGGAGAGAAAAAUAAGGGACAAGGCAGCAUAAGACACAGGUGCUGUGGUGUCUGGUCAUGAGGCUUAAGUUAGUAGUCAUGGCUUGUGCCUUCAUAUACCCACUCAUGUGACUCUUUCUGGCACCUUGGCCAUAGGGCUUCAUUUCCUGGGAGAAGAUUCUAAACAACUGUGCCUAUAGAUCCUUGGUGGGUCUUUCUUUUGGGGUUGGUGGAGUUUUUUGCUGACAAGGAUCUUUGUGAAUCUGUCCCCCUAGUGAUUCUCUGGGCUCUAGAUCUGGACCUCAUACUGUGUUCUUUGACCUUCAGCUGAAUGUCCCCUGGUGAGUGGGAUCAAUCACUCCAGCCACUACUGUGACCUGUUACUCUGCCCAGUGUUUGAGUUAGGUGAGGGUCUCCAAAUGACUAGAAACAGUUUCAUCUGGGAAUUUAAUGGAAUCAAGACUUUGUGAAGCUCCAGUGACCUAAUAACCUGCCAUUUGGCCUCACCUCUUAAAGUUUCCACCACUGCAAACUGUCUCGUUGGGGACCUAUGAAACUUUGAGGGGCAUUCCAUCCAUAUUCCAACCACAGCAAUAAUGUCCACACUGCUAGUCACCAGGUGAUGGUUGAGGAAAGGGCUUAUGUCGAUGAGCCUGUUUCUAUCACUGUGGCUCCCUAGUAUAUAGUAAGUGCUUUGGUAACCAUUUAUGUCUGCAUAAAUAUCCUCACACUUUAUGCACUCUGAGAUGCCUAUUGCAUUUUUUUCCCCAACCGUCUUGGCACCAAUUUUCCAAUUCUGUUCUUUCUAAUCCCUACCUUCUUGCUAACCCACAAUCCACUGGCCACAAAUUAGAGUAGAGCAGAGGUUCUCUGUGGAAAUUGGUGAUAUCUGGAGACAUUUUUGGUUGUGACACUUGUGUGUGGAUGUUCUGGGGUCUCAUGGAAAGAGGCCAAGGAUACUGUUAUACACGGUACAAUGCAUGGGGUGUUUUCCCAACCCCAGGAGGGGAUGAUAAAGAUUUAUCAAGUUGAAAGUGUCAGUAGUGCUGAACUAUGAUCCUGAUAUAGAUCUGUACCUCUACAGAUACACUGAGAUGUCCCUUCAUCACUGUCACUCAAGGGUCUCCUGAGCAUGCCUGUU